rnacentral:lncRNA from 12 species
AACAUCAGCCAUUUUGAUCUGGAGUUUAAGAGAAGUGGUCCUUUGGCUCUCUGAGGGUCUGAUAGUUGAAAUGAGGAGAGCAGAACAAAGAGCGAAGAGAAAUGUUAGAACAUCCCAAUGAUGAACUCCUGCUUGUGCCCUCACACGACUGGGCUAGCUCCACAGUGUUCACUUUCCUUAAAUACUCUUCCAAGAAUCCUUUCCUGACUUCCCUUUAGACAAACUAAAGGACUCUUUUAAGAGGCAAAGAUACUGGGAACGCAGAAAAAGGCAUCUCUGGCACUUCAGCUCCGCGCAGGCACCGGGCCCUGCACAGGUAGCCUCACCGGGGAAGGCUGGAAGGCCUGAAGCAAAGUAUCACCUUGCUGCUUUGAGUGCGGCAUUAGCAUCACCCAAAGAACCUGUUAGAAAUACAGGAGCUCCAGGCCUCACUCCAGACCCAGAGAAUCAGAAUCUGCAUUACAAAAAAAAAAAAAAAAAUCCUUAGGCGAUUCGCAGGUACAUUAAAAUUUUGGAAUAGAAGAGCUUCUAAAGGGAACCUCUGGCAGAAAGCAACACGGCCGUGACACCUGCUGUUAAGUGAGAAAAAUAGAGGGUUCAGCAC